AGGAAUAUUGGUCAAUGGGCGCGAGCCUGAACCAGCCAAGUAGCGUGAAGGAUGAAGGUCCUACGGAUUGUAAACUUCUUUUAUAAGGGAAUAAAGUCACCCACGUGUGGGUGUUUGUAUGUACCUUAUGAAUAAGGAUCGGCUAACUCCGUGCCAGCAGCCGCGGUAAUACGGAGGAUCCGAGCGUUAUCCGGAUUUAUUGGGUUUAAAGGGAGCGUAGAUGGAUGUUUAAGUCAGUUGUGAAAGUUUGCGGCUCAACCGUAAAAUUGCAGUUGAUACUGGAUAUCUUGAGUGCAGUUGAGGCAGGCGGAAUUCGUGGUGUAGCGGUGAAAUGCUUAGAUAUCACGAAGAACUCCGAUUGCGAAGGCAGCCUGCUAAGCUGCAACUGACAUUGAGGCUCGAAAGUGUGGGUAUCAAACAGGAUUAGAUACCCUGGUAGUCCACACGGUAAACGAUGAAUACUCGCUGUUUGCGAUAUACUGCAAGCGGCCAAGCGAAAGCGUUAAGUAUUCCACCUGGGGAGUACGCCGGCAACGGUGAAACUCAAAGGAAUUGACGGGGGCCCGCACAAGCGGAGGAACAUGUGGUUUAAUUCGAUGAUACGCGAGGAACCUUACCCGGGCUUAAAUUGCAGAUGAAUUACGGUGAAAGCCGUAAGCCGCAAGGCAUCUGUGAAGGUGCUGCAUGGUUGUCGUCAGCUCGUGCCGUGAGGUGUCGGCUUAAGUGCCAUAACGAGCGCAACCCUUGUUGUCAGUUACUAACAGGUUCCGCUGAGGACUCUGACAAGACUGCCAUCGUAAGAUGUGAGGAAGGUGGGGAUGACGUCAAAUCAGCACGGCCCUUACGUCCGGGGCUACACACGUGUUACAAUGGGGGGUACAGAGGGCCGCUACCACGCGAGUGGAUGCCAAUCCCCAAAACCUCUCUCAGUUCGGACUGGAGUCUGCAACCCGACUCCACGAAGCUGGAUUCGCUAGUAAUCGCGCAUCAGCCACGGCGCGGUGAAUACGUUCCCG
rnacentral:rRNA from 1 species